GUCUGAAUGAUGCAAUAGUUUGGUUUAUGUAGAACAGAGAUAAGUUGAACAAAAACGUGUGGAUCUCCUGGGAUAGCCCCUUAAUGGAGGAAUACCAUAACAAGAGGUUUGAAUUAAUUGGAUUAGCACAGCAUAAAAAAAAAUAUAUAUGUUUAAACAACACAAUUGUAAUAGGCUCUAUGGAGCUGCUUAUGAACACCUGUCAAGGCUUUUUGAUAAUGUAUACUGUUUCAAUACAGAUUUACAGAAACUGAGGAUGUCUCUUUAAUAAAUAUUUGGCCGUUUAGAACUAAGUAAUAGUAUUGUUCAUUUAGUAAUAGUAUUGGGAAAUCUGUCUGCUCUUUUUCAGUUUAUAAUAAUUUUGAGUAAAUAAAUAUCACUGCCAAAUGACAAACAUGAACGAAGGGUUUUUAAGACAUUGAUCAGGUAGCUGACCUGUAAGCA